rnacentral:lncRNA from 1 species
CUGGUAUCACGUUCAAGAACCUGGUUCUUCAACACAACAUUUUUGCUAUCACUCUCCUUAGCCCUAGACUCUAGACUUUUGCAUUUUGCCUUUAGGAUCACACAUUCCGUAGAUAGAUCUUCCUUCUCAUUGUUAAUUAUCUCAAACUCAUCAAUGAAGUCUAGUAAUAGCUCGGCCAUCCUUUCCUUAGAAAAAAAUUUAAUAUUGUCUUUGUGAUAAAGAAUACUUACCUCUUGUUCAUCAUCUGAUUGUCCGAUGGCUGUAAGGGCCUGUUCAUCUUCAGCUUCAUUAUCUGAGUCCUCAUCUGAUGUUUCUCCCUAGGCAGUAACCAUAGCCUUUGUUGAUCAUUUGUUCCUUCUUGGUUGAACAUAUUCCUUCUUCCUGUUCCUUCGUUCAACCCUUUCUUUCUUCCACUCAAUUUCCCAUUGAGGAUAGUUCUUGAUCAUGUAAUCAGUCUUACCAUACUUGUAG